rnacentral:rRNA from 1 species
GAUGAACGCUGGCGGCGUGCCUAAUACAUGCAAGUCGAGCGAACAGACGAGGAGCUUGCUCCUCUGACGUUAGCGGCGGACGGGUGAGUAACACGUGGAUAACCUACCUAUAAGACUGGGAUAACUUCGGGAAACCGGAGCUAAUACCGGAUAAUAUAUUGAACCGCAUGGUUCAAUAGUGAAAGACGGUUUUGCUGUCACUUAUAGAUGGAUCCGCGCCGCAUUAGCUAGUUGGUAAGGUAACGGCUUACCAAGGCGACGAUGCGUAGCCGACCUGAGAGGGUGGUCGGCCACCCUGGAGCUGAGACAGGGUCCAGGCUCCUACGGGAGGGCGCAGUAGGGAAUCGUCCGCAAUGGGCGAAAGCCUGGCGGAGCAGCGGCGCGUGAGUGAUGAAGGUCUUCGGAUCGUAAAACUCUGUUAUUAGGGAAGAACAAAUGUGUAAGUAACUAUGCACGUCUUGACGGUACCUAAUCAGAGAGCCACGGCUAACUACGUG